rnacentral:snRNA from 1 species
GUGCUUGAUUCAGCAGCACAUAUACUAAAAUUGGAACGAUACAGAGAAGAUUAGCAUGGCCCCUGCACAAGAAUGACACGCAAAUUCAUGAAGCAUUCCAUAUUUGA